rnacentral:rRNA from 1 species
AUGCAAGUCGAGCGGACUUGAUGGAGUGCUUGCACUCCUGAAGGUUAGCGGCGGACGGGUGAGUAACACGUAGGCAACCUGCCCUCAAGACUGGGAUAACUACCGGAAACGGUAGCUAAUACCGGAUAAUUUAUUUUGCAGCAUUGUGGAAUAAUGAAAGGCGGAGCAAUCUGUCACUUGAGGAUGGGCCUGCGGCGCAUUAGCUAGUUGGUGGGGUAACGGCCCACCAAGGCGACGAUGCGUAGCCGACCUGAGAGGGUGAACGGCCACACUGGGACUGAGACACGGCCCAGACUCCUACGGGAGGCAGCGGUAGGGAAUCUUCCGCAAUGGGCGAAAGCCUGACGGAGCAACGCCGCGUGAGUGAUGAAGGUUUUCGGAUCGUAAAGCUCUGUUGCCAAGGAAGAACGUCUUCUAGAGUAACUGCUAGGAGAGUGACGGUACUUGAGAAGAAAGCCCCGGCUAACUACGUGCCAGCAGCCGCGGUAAUACGUAGGGGGCGAGCGUUGUCCGGAAUUAUUGGGCGUAAAGCGCGCGCAGGCGGUCCUUUAAGUCUGGUGUUUAAACCCGAGGCUCAACUUCGGGUCGCACUGGAAACUGGGGAACUUGAGUG